GACGAACGCUGGCGGCGUGCUUAACACAUGCAAGUCGAACGGAAAGGCCCUGCUUUUGUGGGGUGCUCGAGUGGCGAACGGGUGAGUAACACGUGAGUAACCUGCCCUUGACUUUGGGAUAACUUCAGGAAACUGGGGCUAAUACCGGAUAGGAGCUCCUGCUGCAUGGUGGGGGUUGGAAAGUUUCGGCGGUUGGGGAUGGACUCGCGGCUUAUCAGCUUGUUGGUGGGGUAGUGGCUUACCAAGGCUUUGACGGGUAGCCGGCCUGAGAGGGUGACCGGCCAAAAUGGGACUGAGAUACGGCCCAGACUCCUACGGGAGGCAGCAGUGGGGAAUAUUGCACAAUGGGCGGAAGCCUGAUGCAGCAACGCCGCGUGCGGGAUGACGGCCUUCGGGUUGUAAACCGCUUUCGCCUGUGACGAAGCGUGAUUGACGGUAAUGGGUAAAGAAGCACCGGCUAACUACGUG
rnacentral:rRNA from 1 species